rnacentral:rRNA from 1 species
AGCGAACGCUGGCGGCAGGCCUAACACAUGCAAGUCGAGCGCCCCGCAAGGGGAGCGGCAGACGGGAGAGUAACACGUGGGAACGUACCCUUCAGUUCGGAACAACCCAGGGAAACCUGGGCUAAUACCGAAUACGUCCGUAAGGAGAAAGAUUUAUCGCCGGAGGAUUGGCCCGCGUCUGAUUAGCUUGUUGGUGAGGUAAUGGCUCACCAAGGCGACGAUCAGUAGCUGGUCGAGAGGAUGAUCAGCCACAUUGGGACUGAGACACGGCCCAAACUCCUACGGGAGGCAGCAGUGGGGAAUAUUGGACAAUGGGCGAAAGCCUGAUCCAGCGACGCCGCGUGAGGGAUGACGGCCCUCGGGUUGUAAACCUCUUUCGGCAGGGACGAAGCGCAAGUGACGGUACCUGCAGAAGAAGU